CCUACGGGGGGCAGCAGUGGGGAAUAUUGCACAAUGGGGGAAACCCUGAUGCAGCGACGCCGCGUGAGUGAAGAAGUAUUUCGGUACGUAAAGCUCUAUCAGCAGGGAAGAAAAUGACGGUACCUGACUAAGAAGCCCCGGCUAACUACGUGCCAGCAGGCGCGGUAAUACGUAGGGGGCAAGCGUUAUCCGGAUUUACUGGGUGUAAAGGGAGCGUAGACGGCAGCGCAAGUCUGGAGUGAAAUCCCAUGGCUUAACCAUGGAACUGCUUUGGAAACUGUGCAGCUAGAGUGCAGGAGAGGUAAGCGGAAUUCCUAGUGUAGCGGUGAAAUGCGUAGAGAUUAGGAGGAACACCAGUGGCGAAGGCGGCUUACUGGACUGUAACUGACGUUGAGGCUCGAAAGCGUGGGGAGCAAACAGGAUUAGAGACCCGGGUAGUC
rnacentral:rRNA from 1 species